CCCGCGCCGCCCCUUUGCAAAUUACUACGGCGCGUCCCUGCGCGGGGGGCGGUUUCCUCCCGCGGGCCGCGCAUCUCUGCUCUGCAUCCGCGCACGGGGACAACGCCGCUUUCUUUCUUUCAUUCUUUCAUUCGUUCUUUCCUUGUUCCCGUUCUGGAACAGUCGCUGCGGGUGCGCGGAGCCCCACGGGCAGACACGACCGCGGGUCCUUCUCCAGCCCUCAGCUCCAUCACUACAAGUGGCUUUGCCAUGCUAUGGGCACAGGCACCCGCUCAACCCAAGGAGUAGCCCAGCACCACGGCUUUAACUGCUGCAGCCUCUGCUUUGUAGGGCUGCAAGAAGUGAAAGCUUCUCUGUUGGCUGCAGAUGUGCAUAUGAAUGUGAUGCAUUUGCCUAAUAAAUAGCUUCCUAAAUUAAGGGUGAUUAAUCAGAAUCUGCUCUCUACUGCAGGACUUUGGGGAGGUUGAAUGGGGUGUGAAGGAGACACCACUGAAAUGGUGGGAACGAAAACUACAUGUGGCUGGAGGAGCAGCAGGGCUUUAAAGCCAGGUGUAUUUGGGAAUGCCACAGGUGGUACGAGCCAGGGAAUGCUCAUUUCUUUUUUUUUCCCCCUCCUGGAAAAGUACCUGUCUCUGCAAUCAGUUUUUCCUCUUGCUAUGAUUAACCCGCAGCCACCCAAAUUUUGGUUACUUGCUUGGGUCAGCAAGGUAACAGCGCUAGGAAAUGUGCUGUAUCAUGAGCAGCUCUGUCAAUGAGUAUCUGUCUUUGCUAAAGAAGGAAAGAAGAACCUGAGGUUAAUGAUUGUACUUUCGGCCAACAGCUAUUUUGCUGGCAUUUUUAACAGCAGCGAUUUUAACUGAUGGCUGAAGCACAGCUGUAGCGGGCUGAGGGUUUUCCUGCCUUUGUAUGCUGCCUUGCAGCAAGAAGCAGAGGAAAAUUUUCCUGUAUUUCCAGUUUUGCUGCUCGGUGAUGCCUCCAGGCUCUGCACUCAUGGCCGGGUCCCCUUCCCUCUGCACAUGGGGACAGCAAUUGCUCCAGGUGCAGAAGAAAAACCAACGGCGUGGAGUCUCAUCUGCCUGUCCCCAUUGCUGUGGGGGGCAUCAGGAUCUGAACCUUAAUUCUGUGAUUCUACGACUCAACGACUUUCCCCUCUGAUGGGUGUCACAAUACAGCAGCGGCUGCCACUGUGAUAAAUGUCUAUAAACGUCCAAAGGGAGGUGGGAGGCAGAUGGAUGAGGCCAGGUUCUUGUUGGUGAUGUGUAGCCACGGGACAAGGAGUGGCAGCCUAAAACUUGAACAUUGGAAGUUCCGUACAAACAUGUGAAAGAAUGUCUUGACACUAAGGAUGAUGGAGUGCUGGAACAGGCUGCCCAGAGAGGUUGUGGAGUCUCCUUCUAUGGAGAUAUUCAAGACCCAUCUGGAUGCUACCAGUGCAACCUAUUAUAGGGAACUGCUUUAGCUGGCUGUUGGACUCAGUGAUCUCUUUUCUGUGACUCUGUGCUGCUAUAUUUUCAUUAAAAUCAAAGUCACAGUC